rnacentral:rRNA from 1 species
UACGAAGGGGGGCUAGCGUUGUUCGGAUUUACUGGGCGUAAAGCGCACGUAGGCGGACUAUUAAGUCAGGGGUGAAAUCCCGGGGCUCAACCCCCGGAACUGUCCUUUGAUACUGGUAGUCUUGAGUUCGAGAGAGGUGAGUGGAAUUCCGAGUGUAGAGGUGAAAUUCGUAGAUAUUCGGAGGAACACCAGUGGUGAAGGCGGCUCACUGGCUCGAUACUGACGCUGAGGUGCGAAAGCGUGGGGAGCAAGCAGGAUUAGAUACCCUGGUAGUCCACGCCGUAAACUAUGAGAGCUAGCCGUCGGGCAGUAUACUGUUCGGUGGCGCAGCAAACGCAUUAAGCUCUCCGCCUGGGGAUACGGUCGCAAGAUUAAAACUCA